rnacentral:rRNA from 1 species
UACGUAGGGCGCAAGCGUUGUCCGGAAUUACUGGGCGUAAAGGGCGCGUAGGCGGACAUUUAAGUCAGGGGUGAAAUCCCAGAGCUCAACUCUGGAACUGCCUUUGAUACUGGGUGUCUUGAGUGUGAGAGAGGUAUGUGGAACUCCGAGUGUAGAGGUGAAAUUCGUAGAUAUUCGGAAGAACACCAGUGGCGAAGGCGACAUACUGGCUCAUUACUGACGCUGAGGCGCGAAAGCGUGGGGAGCAAACAGG